UUGAAGUGUUAUAGCCUCUGGUAGAUGUGGUGAUUGGGACUGAGGAUUGCAACGAAUAUCCUUUGGGCUAUCCGUCUGAUCUCUGAAAGUUGCUCAGGUGCCGAAAGCGUGCUUACGGUCAUCUAAGUUGACGGUCAAUAGGUUAGAACGUGAUUACAUUCGUUAAGGAUGUUGGCGUAAUGGCUUUAAACGA
rnacentral:rRNA from 1 species